UUCCAUCUGGAAGAAUCUGGAGACAGGUGCUGCAUGGCCUGUCGUCAGCUCGUGUCGUGACGAUGUUGGGUUAAGUCCCGGCAACGAGCGCAACCCUUGCCUUAGUUGCCAGCAGUUCGGCUGGGCACUCUAAAGGGACUGCCGGUGUUAAACCGGAGGAAGGUGGGGAUGACGUCAAGUCCUCAUGGCCUUUAUGACCAGGGCUACACACGUACUACAAUGGCCGAUACAAAGGGCAGCGACACUGCGAGGUGAAGCCAAUCCCGUAAAAUCGGUCUCAGUCCGGAUUGGAGUCUGCAACUCGACUCCAUGAAGUUGGAAUCGCUAGUAAUCGUGGAUCAGCAUGCCACGGUGAAUACGUUCCCGGGCCUU
rnacentral:rRNA from 1 species